rnacentral:rRNA from 1 species
AAUAAAGCACUUUCAAUAGGGAGGAAUACCUUUUAGCUACUACCUAGAAGAAUGACAUUACCUAUAGAAGAAGCACCGGCUAACUCCGUGCCAGCAGCCGCGGUAAUACAGAGGGUGCAAGCGUUAAUCGGAAUUACUGGGCGUAAAGCGUGCGUAGGCGGCUAAUUAAGCCAGAUGUGAAAGCCCUGGGCUUAACCUGGGAACUGCAUUUGGAACUGGUAAGCUAGAGUUGAGUAGAGGUAAGUGGAAUUUCAAGUGUAGCGGUGAAAUGCGUAGAGAUCUGAAGGAACACCAGUGGCGAAGGCGACUUACUGGACUCAAACUGACGCUGAGGUACGAAAGCGUGGGUAGCAAACAGGAUUAGAUACCCUGGUAGUACAAGCCCUAAACGAUGGAUACUCGACAUCAGCGAUACACGGUUGGUGUCUGAGCGAAAGCAUUACGUA